rnacentral:rRNA from 1 species
GAUGAACGCUGGCGGCGUGCCUAAUACAUGCAAGUCGAGCGAACAGACGGGGAGCUUGCUCCUCUGACGUUAGCGGCGGACGGGUGAGUAACACGUGGAUAACCUACCUAUAAGACUGGGAUAACUUCGGGAAACCGGAGCUAAUACCGGAUAAUAUAUUGAACCGCAUGGUUCAAUAGUGAAAGACGGUUUUGCUGUCACUUAUGGAUGGAUCCGCGCCGCAUUAGCCAGUUGGUAAGGUAACGGCUUACCAAGGCAACGAUGCGUAGCCGACCUGAGAGGGUGAUCGGCCACACUGGAACUGAGACACGGUCCAGACUCCUACGGGAGGCAGCAGUAGGGAAUCUUCCGCAAUGGGCGAAAGCUUGACGGAGCAACGCCGCGUGAGUGAUGAAGGUCUUCGGAUCGUAAAACUCUGUUAUUAGGGAAGAACAAAUGUGUAAGUAACUAUGCACGUCUUGACGGUACCUAAUCAGAAAGCCACGGCUAACUACGUG